rnacentral:pre_miRNA from 1 species
GGCAAGAGCCACUCAGGCUAGUCAAGGAGACUGCCAAUUAAGCCUUGAAGGGAGGAACAAGACACAGGCAAGUCAUCCUUGGCUAUCAGAGAUAAGGCUUCUGC